rnacentral:rRNA from 1 species
AUUGAACGCUGGCGGCAGGCCUAACACAUGCAAGUCGAGCGGAUGAAGGGAGCUUGCUCCUGGAUUCAGCGGCGGACGGGUGAGUAAUGCCUAGGAAUCUGCCUGGUAGUGGGGGAUAACGUCCGGAAACGGGCGCUAAUACCGCAUACGUCCUGAGGGAGAAAGUGGGGGAUCUUCGGACCUCACGCUAUCAGAUGAGCCUAGGUCGGAUUAGCUAGUUGGUGGGGUAAAGGCCUACCAAGGCGACGAUCCGUAACUGGUCUGAGAGGAUGAUCAGUCACACUGGAACUGAGACACGGUCCAGACUCCUACGGGAGGCAGCAGUGGGGAAUAUUGGACAAUGGGCGAAAGCCUGAUCCAGCCAUGCCGCGUGUGUGAAGAAAGUCUUCGGAUUGUAAAGCACUUUAAGUUGGGAGGAAGGGCAGUAAGUUAAUACCUUGCUGUUUUGACGUUACCAAAAGAAUAAGCACCGGCUAACUUCGUG